AACCGCGGUUAUACGAGAGGCCCAAGUUGAUAGGCACCGGCGUAAAGGGUGGUUAGGGGUAAUAACAUAAUAAAGCCGAACAUCUUCAAUGCUGUUAUACGCCUUCGAAGACUUGAAGCCCCACCACGAAAGUGGCUUUACCUUCCCCGAACCCACGAAAGCCAGGGCA
rnacentral:rRNA from 1 species